rnacentral:rRNA from 1 species
UACGAGGGGUCCUAGCGUUGUUCGGAAUCAUUGGGCGUAAGAGUAUGUAGGCGGCUAGAUAAGUCAGGUGUGAAAUCCCCGGGCUCAACCCGGGAAGUGCAUUUGAUACUGUCUAGCUUGAGUAUGGAAGAGGGUAGUGGAAUUCCUGGUGUAGUGGUGAAAUACGUAGAUAUCAGGAGGAACACCGGUGGCGAAGGCGGCUACCUGGUCCUAUACUGACGCUGAGAUACGAAAGCGUGGGGAGCAAACAGG